GCCCGGCAGUAGCAGGAUCAGCACUGCUUGGAAAAAGACAUUUUGGAGCAGUACAGGCUGGGAGACAGGUGCAGAACAGAAGCUGUUUGGAACUCAUGAAUGUCCUGGGGCCCAACAAUGCAGAGAGCUAAGCAGGGCUGGUUAGUACUGACCUGGUGAUAACCACACUGAUAGGUUUACCUGCAGUAUUGAUUGGGAAUGCUCGCCCACCCAGGACAUGCUCUCCACCUCUACUGCUAUCUAUGUGCAAGGCUCAGCUGGCCCAUCAUCUGCUCAGAAGAAAUUAAAAGUGGGCCUAUAUUUGAAACUCAAAUUGUUUCCUGUUGACUCAAACUAGACCAACUCAUUCAAAGCAAGCCCCCGAGGCUCCUCCAGCUGCCCCCAUCCUCACCUCUGUGCUUUCUCACAAAGGGACAGCACUUUCACUCAACUUACCUUCAAACAGGCCUCUGUUUAGUUUAAUAGAACCAUGGAACCUCUCAUGCUAAGUGCUGUACCACUGAGAGCACACCGGGCACUUUGACACGAGAGAGGCCUUUUUCUUCACGUAGCUGUAGCUACCUGAGAACGAACACAGUUAAAGUCAUUCACUUCACGACUGUGGGUCGGAGCUUACCUCAUUUCCAGCUGCCGAAUGACCCCUGGGUUUAUGGGGCUGUAUGGACCUUCCAGCCACCAGGACUGUCUCGAGGAAUGCUUUGGUGGCUUGGUGGGAAGCAGUCCCUCGCUGACUAAGAAGGGAGCUAAAUAAACCUGCACAGGUGCUUCGAGCUCCAUCUGGGUGGGUAACACCCUUCCCAUCUACCCCUUCUGUUCCCACUCCUGCCACCCCAUCUCCUCCCCGUGCUCACGUGCCACUGCCUCUAAGAGGCCGCCAGCCGCGCUGGGGUGGGGGUGAUGUGUGCUGUGUGACUGCUCCUCAGGUGACCUCUGCUGCAGUGCUGUCCACCAGCAUCUCAAGGAAGGGGUGACAAGGGGACCAGAAUGAGUCGCCACGAUGCAGACGCAGUGCUGUUUGCCUAUGGCCAGAACGAACAGGCCUCUAUUUCAAAAUGGGGCUAGGCAGGGUCUUCCGGAGGCCUUCCCUGCCUAGAGACCGCUAAGUGAGCCCAGGCAAUCCGGAGCUGGCUUCAAAAUCAGCAACAGGGCGGUGGGGGUGGGGGUGGGGGUGCCUCACAACAAACAGUGGUAACAGAAGGUUUGUGUGGGAAGAUGGUCUAAAACAAGCAGUGUCUGUGGUAAUGAGCUGUUGUGAGGAAGUAUGUGGGGCCUCCGAAGCAGGCUGCUGCUUUUCCAGGGCUGGGCUUUUCGGGGAGAAGGGGAUGCAGGAAGACAAGGAAAGGGCCCGACUGAGGCACAUGGGGACGUUACAGAGCACAGAAGCCCAUAGUGUGCGUGGGGUCCCAAUGAGAAACAGCCAGCAGGGCGGUGAAGCACCUGAGGGCUGGCAAAAAAGCAGGGAGACGGGUCCAAUAUGGAACUGGAAGGGACAAGAAGAGGGUGUGGUACCAAAGCUUACUGUCUGGAACUGUGGCCUAGGAAGGAGAGGCUGCCCACUGCCAACAUGCACCUAGAGACAGCUGGGGGGUAAAGCCCCUCCCUCGGCUUCUCCAUCACACCCCUCCCACCUGCAUCUUCGAUGGCUCCUGACCACAAGCCAAAGGCCAAGGGGCCAGUCAGCCUCUUCCCAGGGGGAGGAUGGAACCAGGCAACGCUUGUGGCAGGCCGGUUUGGAUGGGAUAACCGUCGGCAGCCAUUCUGAGAUCAGGCACUCAUGACACCUGUGAACGGCCUGUGUCGUCUUUACCUAUGGAAGGGUGAUGAUACAACUUUAAAAUCAGACUACGAAAGCCAGAACCAAAACAUGAGUGAAAACAACACAACUUUGUACAAAAUGGACAGGUAACAUUUAUUAAAACUUGUCAUACAAAA
rnacentral:lncRNA from 1 species